rnacentral:rRNA from 1 species
AAAAGUACUUUGAAGAGAGAGUUCAAGAGGACGUGAAACCGGUAGGAUGGAAACGGAUAGAGCCAACGAACAAGCCCGUAUUCAGCUAGUCGGCUGCGUGCGGCAUGCCUGUGUGCUCGUUCAGGGUGCAUGGGUGUGUGCGGUAUGCGGUCGGCUAGUGCAUUUGCGGGUGAUGUGCGCUGAGGCGUGUGGCGGAGUCCUGCAAACUGUCUGGAGAGGCCUCGCCUUCGGGCUUGAAACCUACRGGCGGGGAGUCGGGUUUCUGCUGCAUGUAGACGAAGCGGCUAGGUGCAAACGCGCUGUCGUGCUGCCGGGCUAGCUGCUUGGCCGGUCGCAUGCGACUAGGUCUUGUUGGUUGGUCUUGGUGGUACGGCAGUGCCCUGGUCGACCCUCGGUGUAAAAGUUGGUCAUCUCUCCGACCCGUCUUGAAACACGGACCAAGGAGUCUAGCGUAUGCGCGAGUCAUUGGGUGGAAAACCCAUAGGCGAAAUGAAAGUGAAGGUCUCUUCAUGAGGCUGAUAUGCGAUCCGUUGCACUACGGUGUACGCGGAGCAGCAUAGCCCCGUCUCGACUGCUUGCAGUGGGGCGGAGGUAGAGCGUAUACGCUGGUACCCGAAAGAUGGUGAACUAUGCCUGAGCAGGAUGAAGCCAGAGGAAACUCUGGUGGAGGUCCGAAGCGCUUCUGACGUGCAAAUCGAUCGUCUGACUUGGGUAUAGGGGCGAAAGACUAAUCGAACCAUCUAGUAGCUGGUUUCUUCCGA